GUCUCUUCGGGGAUGAUUAAACCGGCGCACGGGUGAGUAACACGUGAGUGACCUGCCUUUUAGACUGGAACAACUUACCGAAAGGUGAGCUAAUGCCGGAUGAGUUAUAUAAGUGCAUGUUUAUAUAGGAAAAGUUGGGGAGACCUGACGCUGAAAGAUGGACUCGCGUCCCAUUAGCUAGUUGGUAGGGUAAUGGCCUACCAAGGCGACGAUGGGUAGCCGGCCUGAGAGGGUGGCCGGCCACACUGGGACUGAGACACGGCCCAGACUCCUACGGGAGGCAGCAGUGGGGAAUUUUGCGCAAUGCUCGUAAGAGUGACGCAGCGACGCCGCGUGAAUGACGAAGGCCUUCGGGUCGUAAAGUUCUUUCGACAGGGAAGAAAAUGCCUAUAAGUAACUGUGUAUGUAUUGACGGUACCUGUAUAAGCAGCCCCGGCUAACUCCGUGCCAGCAGCCGCGGUAAUACGGAGGGGGCGAGCGUUGUUCGGAGUGACUGGGCGUAAAGAGCACGUAGGCGGUGUUGUAAGUCAUUAGUCAAAGACUAGAGCUCAACUUUAGUAAGGCUAGUGAUACUAUAAUACUAGAGUAUCAGAGAGGAUUGCAGAAUUCCUGGUGUAGCGGUGAAAUGCGUAGAUAUCAGGAGGAAUACCGUUAGCGAAGGCGGCAAUCUGGCUGGAAACUGACGCUGAGGUGCGAAAGCGUGGGUAGCAAACAGGAUUAGAUACCCU
rnacentral:rRNA from 1 species